AUUUAUAUAGUUUAAGAAAAACUUUACAUUUUCACUGUAACAAUAAGAAGAACUUUAUAAAUA
rnacentral:tRNA from 1 species